rnacentral:rRNA from 1 species
GAUUAACGCUAGCGGCAGGCCUAAUACAUGCAAGUCGAACGGCAGCACGGGUAGCAAUACCUGGUGGCGAGUGGCGCACGGGUGCGUAACGCGUAUGCAAUCUACCUAUAACUGGGGAAUAGCCUUCCGAAAGGAAGAUUAAUACCGCAUAAUAUCACGAAGCGGCAUCGUUUUGUGAUACAAAUCUCCGGAGGUUAUAGAUGAGCAUGCGUGACAUUAGCUAGUUGGUGAGGUAACGGCUCACCAAGGCUACGAUGUCUAGGGGGUCUGAGAGGAUGAUCCCCCACACUGGUACUGAGACACGGACCAGACU